UUCUUAAAAUUUCCAAUCCUUUCUCCCCAUUAUCGUUGAAGCCUCUUUCUUCCCCGACAACUCCUACCCGACCCUUCUCCAGCGAUUUUUUGCCUCACCGACGCCGAGCUCGCGAUCGCCGGCCAUUAGACAUUGACAUAGACGAAGGGCUUCCUCUUCCCCAAUCCCGAGUCUUCUUCCUUCCUCCCUUUCUCUCGCGCGAGCAGACGACCCAAUGGCGACGGAGAGACUUCUUCCACCCCGAUCUCGUCGUCACGUGUACGAGGGAAGGCGUCGCCGGAUCUCGACAGUACCGAUCAUCUCCAGCUGAGUAGGUGUCUCAGUGGCUGUUUCUUGCUGGCGAUCGAUAACAAUCCAGCGGAGCUAGGGCAUGGCAGGGUCCCGACCGAUUGAGCCUCUUUCGCUUCUCCUCUUCGAUCUGUGCACUGGAGGGCAAAUCGGGUCAUCACUAGUGGGAGUGGAUCACGUGACACCAUUGGAGGUGAUCGAUCGAGUGCUCUUCCUGAUCUGGAAUGGAGGAUGCAUCGGAUCAAAAUAGGAGUGGAUUUCUCUUGAGCCGAACACAACCUUCUACACUUCUUGCGGCUGUUAGAGUCUCGGAUGAAGAGGUGGAGGUUGGUUGAGCUUCUCGGCAAUGAGUUGUAGGGUUGUUGAGCUACUGGAAUUACUGCCAUACUUCAAGGACUUUGAUUCGAGGCGAGCGUCUUGACGUGGAUUGGUUUAUCUGAUACGGUCGAUAGAUAAAGGCGGGU